UGGAAGUAAAAAGUCGUAACAAGGUUUCCGUAGGUGAACCUGCGGAAGGAUCAUUAACGCGCAGGCCGCAGUCGGCCCGUCCCCCUUCUCUCUGAAUGCUGGACGGUGUCGCCGGCCACACGCCCAUUCUUGUCUACACUACCCGGUUGCCUCGGCGGGCCGCGCCCCCUAGGCUGCAGUGUCGCUGCAGCGUCUCGGGGGGGCCGUUCGGGGGAUGGAGAAGGAUGCCCCGGCGGGGUUGAUCGCUCCCCCACCCCUGGACAGCGCUCGCCGAAGGAGUGAUUCUCAGAAAUUCUACGAAAUCUCCAUAGGUGGUUCAGUCUGAGCGUUGGCAAGCAAAAACCAGUCAAAACUUUCAACAACGGAUCUCUUGGUUCCGGCAUCGAUGAAGAACGCAGCGAAAUGCGAUAAGUAAUGUGAAUUGCAGAAUUCCGUGAAUCAUCGAAUCUUUGAACGCACAUUGCGCCCUCUGGUAUUCCGGGGGGCAUGCCUGUUCGAGCGUCAUUUCAACCCCUCAAGCCCGGCUUGUGUGAUGGACGACCGUCCGACCGCCUUUGCAUCCCCCGUUCCACCGGGAGAGGAGAAAGGUGGAGGGGACGCGCCCGAAAAGCAGUGGCCAGGCCGCGAUUCCGGGCCCCUGGGCGAAUGGGCAACAAAACCAGCGCCUUCAGGACCGGCCGGCUCUCUGGCCCUAGUUUCCGUCGGGAGGACGAAAGGGGGCGACCCCUCUCUCCCCUCCGCAUUCAGGUUGACCUCGGAUCAGGUAGGGAUACCCGCUGAACUUAAGCAUAUCAAUAA
rnacentral:misc_RNA from 1 species